UGUCCAGUAGCACCUUAGAGACCAACUAAGUUUGUUCUUGGUAUGAGCUUUCGUGUGCAUGCACACGAAAGCUCAUACCAAGAACAAACUUAGUUGGUCUCUAAGGUGCUACUGGACA